rnacentral:lncRNA from 1 species
GGUGUGAACUAGAAGGAAGACGACAAGCACAGAUCAAAUAGAAACAGGCAUCCCCUGCUCUGUCUGAGCGUGUGCAGGUGUUUGAAUCUCUCAGAGAGAGGCAGGGACAGCAGAGGACAAGCGGCGCCACGAAACAGGCCUUCAGCGUCCGAUUGGCUGAUGGCAGGACGGUGAAUGGCACCACAGGCGUGACCACGCCCUCAAUCAUCGCUCAGAACGCACGUGUGAAAGGUGCAGGGUGAAUGGAGAGCUGUGGGAGCUGCUUCGCCCCCUGGAGGCUGACUGUGAACUACAGCUGCUAGGCUUCGACACCACAGAGGGCAAACGGGUACUUACUAAGGACAUUCUCAUUCAUCUAACCCAAUAGAUCUUACAUGUAGAGCAGUCAGAGGCAGAGGUUGACCUCUUCUCUCUCUUAUCCCCUCUCGCUCAUCUCUUUCAU